rnacentral:rRNA from 1 species
CGUGCAGCCGGGUCUGCAAGUCAGAUGUGAAAUCCAUGGGCUCAACCCAUGAACUGCAUUUGAAACUGUAGAUCUUGAGUGUCGGAGGGGCAAUCGGAAUUCCUAGUGUAGCGGUGAAAUGCGUAGAUAUUAGGAGGAACACCAGUGGCGAAGGCGGAUUGCUGGACGAUAACUGACGGUGAGGCGCGAAAGCGUGGGGAGCAAACA